CGUACACUCCUGCGGGAGGCAGCAGUGGGGAAUAUUGGACAAUGGGCGCAAGCCUGAUCCAGCCAUGCCGCGUGAGUGAUGAAGGCCCUAGGGUUGUAAAGCUCUUUCACCGGUGAAGAUAAUGACGGUAACCGGAGAAGAAGCCCCGGCUAACUUCGUGCCAGCAGCCGCGGUAAUACGAAGGGGGCUAGCGUUGUUCGGAUUUACUGGGCGUAAAGCGCACGUAGGCGGACUAUUAAGUCAGGGGUGAAAUCCCGGGGCUCAACCCCGGAACUGCCUUUGAUACUGGUAGUCUUGAGUUCGAGAGAGGUGAGUGGAAUUCCGAGUGUAGAGGUGAAAUUCGUAGAUAUUCGGAGGAACACCAGUGGCGAAGGCCGCUCACUGGCUCGAUACUGACGCUGAGGUGCGAAAGCGUGGGGGGCAAACAGGAUUAGAAACCCGAGUAGUCCCAUG
rnacentral:rRNA from 1 species